UGGGGAAUAUUGCACAAUGGGGGGAACCCUGAUGCAGCGACGCCGCGUGAGCGAAGAAGUAUUUCGGUAUGUAAAGCUCUAUCAGCAGGGAAGAAAAUGACGGUACCUGAGUAAGAAGCCCCGGCUAAAUACGUGCCAGCAGCCGCGGUAAUACGUAUGGGGCAAGCGUUAUCCGGAUUUACUGGGUGUAAAGGGAGCGUAGACGGAGCGGCAAGUCUGAUGUGAAAGGCGGGGGCCCAACCCCCGGACUGCAUUGGAAACUGCUGGUCUUGAGUGCCGGAGAGGUAAGCGGAAUUCCUGGUGUAGCGGUGAAAUGCGUAGAUAUCAGGAGGAACACCAGUGGCGAAGGCGGCUUACUGGACGGUAACUGACGUUGAGGCUCGAAAGCGUGGGGAGCAAA
rnacentral:rRNA from 1 species